GACGAACGCUGGCGGCGUGCUUAACACAUGCAAGUCGAACGGAAAGGCCCUGCUUUUGUGGGGUGCUCGAGUGGCGAACGGGUGAGUAACACGUGAGUAACCUGCCCUUGACUUUGGGAUAACUUCAGGAAACUGGGGCUAAUACCGGAUAGGAGCUCCUGCUGCAUGGUGGGGGUUGGAAAGUUUCGGCGGUUGGGGAUGGACUCGCGGCUUAUCAGCUUGUUGGUGGGGUAGUGGCUUACCAAGGCUUUGACGGGUAGCCGGCCUGAGAGGGUGACCGGCGACAUGGGGACUGAGAUACGGCCCAGAAUGCUACGGGAGGAAGCAGUGGGGAAUAUUGCACAAUGGGCGGAAGCCUGAGGCAGAAACGCCGGGUGCGGGAUGACGGCCUUCGGGUUGUAAACCGCUUUCGCAUGUGACGAAGCGUGAGUGACGGUAAUGGGUAAAGAAGCAACGGCUAACUACGUG
rnacentral:rRNA from 1 species